rnacentral:rRNA from 1 species
UACGUAGGGGGCAAGCGUUGUCCGGAUUUAUUGGGCGUAAAGCGCGUGUAGGCGGCCAGGUAGGUCGGUUGUGAAAACUCGAGGCUUAACCUCGAGAUGUCGGUGGAAACCAUCUGGCUAGAGUCCGGAAGAGGAGAGUGGAAUUCCUGGUGUAGCGGUGAAAUGCGCAGAUAUCAGGAGGAACACCGAUGGCGAAGGCAGGUCUCUGGGCAUUAACUGACGCUGAGGAGCGAAAGCCAGGGGAGCAAACGGG